UUCGUAAUUGACUACUUACUUAGUAAGGGCAUUUAUUGAAGAUGAGCUGUGUUUUUCCGGAGUCAAUUGCUAAUUAGCGAAGCAGACAAGAAAAUGAUUGGAUGGUGCCGACCAACUGCAGGGAAAGGCGUGGAAAAAUAGGUGAAAGCUGCUGGAUAAAGAAACUAACAGGAAGGCAGCCCAUAGGUUUUGUUGUCGUUGUUUACGAAUAAGUCCACUAUGUGCAUGCAGUGCCUCAAGACGUCAGAAGGGGGCGUGGGUCCCACCAAAGUUGAAUUAUAGAAAACGGCAAGCUGCCACAUGGAUACUGGAAAACAAACCAGAACCCUCUAAACAAGCUACAAGGUUUUAACUGCUCAGCCACCCCGAAGCUUCCCAAAAUUUCCGAUGAACUUAAACACUGUAUUUCCAUUGAUAUGUUAUCACAACACUGGUCGAUGGAGUUUCUGGAAAAUGGCAGUCAUAACUUUCAUCCGGAGAGCAUCCUUGCAUAUCUCAACUCAUGAACAAGGGUAGCGUUUCUGAGAGCUCUUCUCCAUUAUGCAGUCAUGGCCUGGGACAAGAGACUUCCAAGACCUUUGAUCUCCCGAAACUACAUCUUCCUGGUAUGGUGUUACCCACCUGCAGGCCGCUCAGUCUUCACAAGGGAGUCUUUUCCAGGAGUAAGUAAGUGGUGGACUGGGACAUAGGGAAAGCACAGGCAAGCCACAUCCUUGCCUAUCACACCUCAGUUAUACACUGCUAGCUUCCCCUCUU
rnacentral:lncRNA from 1 species